rnacentral:rRNA from 1 species
GAUGAACGCUGGCGGCGUGCCUAAUACAUGCAAGUCGAGCGAACAGAUGAGGAGCUUGCUCCUCUGACGUUAGCGGCGGACGGGUGAGUAACACGUGGAUAACCUACCUAUAAGACUGGGAUAACUUCGGGAAACCGGAUCUAAUACCGGAUAAUAUAUUGAACCGCAUGGUUCAAUAGUGAAAGACGGUUUUGCUGUCACUUAUAGAUGGAUCCGCGCCGCAUUAGCUAGUUGGUAAGGUAACGGCUUACCAAGGCAACGAUGCGUAGCCGACCUGAGAGGGUGAUCGGCCACCCUGGAACUGAGACACGGUCCAGACUCCUACGGGAGGAAGCAGUAGGGAAUCUUCCGCAAUGGGCGAAAGCCUGACGGAGCAACGCCGCGUGAGUGAUGAAGGUCUUCGGAUCGUAAAACUCUGUUAUUAGGGAAGAACAAAUGUGUAAGUAACUAUGCACGUCUUGACGGUACCUAAUCAGAAAGCCACGGCUAACUACGUG